UUGAGGAGGUAGCCUGAGCUGAGAAAGAGCGUGACUCACAGUGUUCUACUAUCAAGUGGGAACCUGAACCCAGGAAUCCAUGUCGCAUCCAGUAACUUGGCCACUGUACCAAACUGCAUCUGUCAAGUGUGAGAAGAGGACUUCUCUUUAAAGAUAAAGGAGAAAAAAAGAACCUACGGCAGUUUUCACCCAGGAAUUUGUGGUUUUUCAGCACAAGAUCACCCUUUACCGAUCACAGUGGUUACUGAUUCCCAGCUCCUCUUUAUCUAAUCAUCCAAAGUAAAAGUCAGACAAAGACCCAGAAAGCUCUGGCCUGGAAAGGGAAGUGAGAAGAGAAAAUGGUUGUUGGAACCGUGAGAAAGAAAUUCAGAACAGCCCAUCCUGUCUCUCUUGUCCUUCAAAAGGAGCACGGAAGACUUUGGAACUGCUUUCAAGAUUCUCCUGUCACAACAAGGUGGCUUCUCACGCAUGAAGGUACUUUAAGAAUUCAAAGGCGCUUCCCGUAUUUGCUAGCCAUGCAAGAACUGCCUAAGAGGAAGAUUAAGAUUAUUACCGAUGGUAGGAGCGGUUACAAAGCAGGGUGAGACAAAGGGAAAG